rnacentral:rRNA from 1 species
GACAGAGGCCUCAAGCGUUAGGCGGAAUCACUGGGCUUAAAGCGUGCGCAGGCGGUUCUAUAAGACAGAUGUGAAAUCCCCGGGCUCAACCUGGGAACUGCAUUUGUGACUGUAGAGCUGGAGUACGGCAGAGGGGGAUGGAAUUCCGCGUGUAGCAGUGAAAUGCGUAGAUAUGCGGAGGAACACCGAUGGCGAAGGCAAUCCCCUGGGCCUGUACUGACGCUCAUGCACGAAAGCGUGGGGAGCAAACAGG